rnacentral:rRNA from 1 species
GAUGAACGCUGGCGGCGUGCCUAAUACAUGCAAGUCGAGCGAACGGACGAGAAGCUUGCUUCUCUGAUGUUAGCGGCGGACGGGUGAGUAACACGUGGAUAACCUACCUAUAAGACUGGGAUAACUUCGGGAAACCGGAGCUAAUACCGGAUAAUAUUUUGAACCGCAUGGUUCAAAAGUGAAAGACGGUCUUGCUGUCACUUAUAGAUGGAUCCGCGCUGCAUUAGCUAGUUGGUAAGGUAACGGCUUACCAAGGCAACGAUGCAUAGCCGACCUGAGAGGGUGAUCGGCCACACUGGAACUGAGACACGGUCCAGACUCCUACGGGAGGCAGCAGUAGGGAAUCUUCCGCAAUGGGCGAAAGCCUGACGGAGCAACGCCGCGUGAGUGAUGAAGGUCUUCGGAUCGUAAAACUCUGUUAUUAGGGAAGAACAUAUGUGUAAGUAACUGUGCACAUCUUGACGGUACCUAAUCAGAAAGCCACGGCUAACUACGUGCCAGCAGCCGCGGUAAUACGUAGGUGGCAAGCGUUAUCCGGAAUUAUUGGGCGUAAAGCGCGCGUAGGCGGUUUUUUAAGUCUGAUGUGAAAGCCCACGGCUCACCGUGGAGGGUCAUUGGAAACUGGAAAACUUGAGUGCAGAAGAGGAAAGUGGAAUUCCAUGUGUAGCGGUGAAAUGCGCAGAGAUAUGGAGGAACACCAGUGGCGAAGGCGACUUUCUGGUCUGUAACUGACGCUGAUGUGCGAAAGCGUGGGGAUCAAACAGGAUUAGAUACCCUGGUAGUCCACGCCGUAAACGAUGAGUGCUAAGUGUUAGGGGGUUUCCGCCCCUUAGUGCUGCAGCUAACGCAUUAAGCACUCCGCCUGGGGAGUACGACCGCAAGGUUGAAACUCAAAGGAAUUGACGGGGACCCGCACAAGCGGUGGAGCAUGUGGUUUAAUUCGAAGCAACGCGAAGAACCUUACCAAAUCUUGACAUCCUUUGACAACUCUAGAGAUAGAGCCUUCCCCUUCGGGGGACAAAGUGACAGGUGGUGCAUGGUUGUCGUCAGCUCGUGUCGUGAGAUGUUGGGUUAAGUCCCGCAACGAGCGCAACCCUUAAGCUUAGUUGCCAUCAUUAAGUUGGGCACUCUAAGUUGACUGCCGGUGACAAACCGGAGGAAGGUGGGGAUGACGUCAAAUCAUCAUGCCCCUUAUGAUUUGGGCUACACACGUGCUACAAUGGACAAUACAAAGGGCAGCGAAACCGCGAGGUCAAGCAAAUCCCAUAAAGUUGUUCUCAGUUCGGAUUGUAGUCUGCAACUCGACUACAUGAAGCUGGAAUCGCUAGUAAUCGUAGAUCAGCAUGCUACGGUGAGUACGUUCCCGGGUCU